UACGGAGGGUGCAAACGUUGCUCGGAAUCAUUGGGCGUAAAGCGCACGUAGGCGGACCGCUAAGUCGGAUGUGAAAGCCCUCGGCUUAACCGAGGAAGUGCAUUCGAAACUGACAGUCUUGAGUAUGGAAGAGGGUCGCGGAAUUCCCGGUGUAGAGGUGAAAUUCGUAGAUAUCGGAGGAACACCAGUGGCGAAGGCGGCGACCUGGCCAAUACUGACGCUGAGGUGCGAAGCGUGGGAGCAAACAGG
rnacentral:rRNA from 1 species